GAUACCAGGGUCAAAAGGUCUAAGCCCGCAUGAGCUUGCUCAUAAGUGGGUGAAAGGCCUUGGGACCCGCCCCGAUAUGAGCAUAAAAGUGGGAUGUAUAUCCCACGAUAUGCGAAUAUUGGGGAGGAUUGUGGAAGUGUGCAGCACGGAACAAUCCGAAGGUG
rnacentral:sRNA from 1 species